rnacentral:rRNA from 1 species
AUUGAACGCUGGCGGCAGGCCUAACACAUGCAAGUCGAACGGUAGCACAGAGAGCUUGCUCUCGGGUGACGAGUGGCGGACGGGUGAGUAACGUCUGGGAAACUGCCCGAUGGAGGGGGAUAACUACUGGAAACGGUAGCUAGUACCGCAUAACGUCGCAAGACCAAAGUGGGGGACCUUCGGGCCUCACACCAUCGGAUGUGCCCAGAUGGGAUUAGCUAGUAGGUGGGGUAAUGGCUCACCUAGGCGACGAUCCCUAGCUGGUCUGAGAGGAUGACCAGCCACACUGGGACUGAGACACGGUCCAGACUCCUACGGGAGGCAGCAGUGGGGAAUAUUGCACAAUGGGCGCAAGCCUGAUGCAGCCAUGCCGCGUGUAUGAAGAAGGCCUUCGGGUUGUAAAGUACUUUCAGCGGGGAGGAAGGCGGUGAAGUUAAUAACUUCACCGAUUGACGUUACCCGCAGAAGAAGCACCGGCUAACUCCGUGCCAGCCGCCGCCGUAA